rnacentral:rRNA from 1 species
AUGUGGUUUAAUUCGAAGCAACGCGAAGAACCUUACCAGAUCUUGACAUCCAAUUGACCAUCUUUUAUCGAGAUUUUGCCUUCGGGUACAAUUGAGACAGGUGGUGCAUGGUUGUCGUCAGCUCGUGUCGUGAGAUGUUGGGUUAAGUCCCGCAACGAGCGCAACCCUUGUGUUUAGUUGCAAACAGGUCAAGCUGUGCACUCUAGACAGACUGCCGUGGACAACACGGAGGAAGUGGGGAUGACGUCAAAUCAUCAUGCCCCUUAUGAUCUGGGCUACACACGUGCUACAAUGGCCGGUACAACGGGCAGCGAAGGAGCGAUCCGGAGCGAAUCCUAAAAAGCCGGUCCCAGUUCGGAUUGCAGGCUGAAACUCGCCUACAUGAAGUUGGAGUUGCUAGUAAUCGCGAAUCAGAAUGUCGCGGUGAAUGCGUUCCCGGGUCUU